rnacentral:rRNA from 1 species
UACGAAGGGGGCUAGCGUUGCUCGGAAUCACUGGGCGUAAAGCGCACGUAGGCGGAUUGCUAAGUCAGGGGUGAAAUCCUGGAGCUCAACUCCAGAACUGCCUUUGAUACUGGCGAUCUUGAGUCCGGGAGAGGUGAGUGGAACUGCGAGUGUAGAGGUGAAAUUCGUAGAUAUUCGCAAGAACACCGGUGGCGAAGGCGGCUAUCUGGGCCAACACUGACGCUCAGGCACGAAAGCGUGGGGAGCAAACAGGG